rnacentral:rRNA from 1 species
GUGAGGGAGGAGGCUCUUGGGUUGUAAACCUCUUUUCUCAGGGAAGAAGCUCUGACGGUACCUGAGGAAUCAGCCUCGGCUAACUCCGUGCCAGCAGCCGCGGUAAUACGGAGGAGGCAAGCGUUAUCCGGAAUUAUUGGGCGUAAAGCGUCCGCAGGUGGCGAUUCAAGUCUGCUGUCAAAGCACGGGGCUUAACUCCGUUAAGGCAGUGGAAACUGAAUAGCUAGAGUGCCGUAGGGGUAGAGGGAAUUCCCGGUGUAGCGGUGAAAUGCGUAGAGAUCGGGAAGAACAUCGGUGGCGAAAGCGCUCUACUGGACGGCAACUGACACUCAGGGACGAAAGCUAGGGGAGCGAAUGGGAUUAGAUACCUCAGUAG